AAUAAUUAAAACUAACUGUUUGAGGAUCCUGAAAUACCUAACAUAUGAAACCUGCUGAGGAGUAUAUAACAAAACACGAGCCACACACUUCUGAAUGAAGGACUCACAAGUUCAAAUGACUAAGAUAUUAUAGUUGAGAAAACAGAUUUAGAAUCAUCCAACUUACAAGGAAAAGUAACAUCCGUGUGCCUAUCAGUAGCAAUAUCCUAUUAAAAUCCUGGUUAAAUUCACCGGUGCCACCAUAAACGAACCGGCUGUGUAGAUUGAUUAUGACCGAAGGCAGUGCAAAGCUUAAACUGCCAUCAACGUCACAAUUUCAGCAAUAGAAAACAGUGAUAAAAAAAAAUAAAUAAUGCCUCAUUUUAGUUAACACCACGCUUAGUGAAUGGAAAGAACUGCAACUUAAGCAUAGGCAUGAACAAAUGUGUACUGUACACCGAUCAGGGUUGACGAAAUAGUAUAAAUAUGCAGUGCAUUUCUUAAUGAACUAUUGAUAUCCAUAGAUUGAAAACUAAUUGCUUGAGAAUCUUAAAAUACCUAACAUACGAAACCUGCUUAGGAGUAUCUAACAAAACACGAGCAAUUCACUUCUCAAUUAAGUAUAUAAAGUUCAAAUGCCUAAAAUAUGAUAGAUCAAAAAAUAAAUUCAGAACCAUCCAAUUUACAAAGAAAAGAAACAUCAUAAUGCCUAGCAUGAGCACCAUCCAUGCAGAGGAUUUGUCUUGAUUGUCACCAUCAACUUGACAAAAUCCGCAACAUGAAAUCAUGAACCUGCUGCAUCUGUCUUCUUCCGUUGUUUCCCUCCCUUGGCUGUUCUAGUGGCUGUACAAACAUCAUAGGCAAUAUCAGAAGAGUUCUCAAUAAAACAUAGUUGAUGAUGCAAUAUGAAACCCACAUCAAUUAAUACCAUAUCAAACCAACAUUCGAAGUAGUAAUUCUAACUACAGAAACAUCUAUUCGCUAGUUAUAGCAAUUCAGCAACAUCCAAUAAAAUGGUUCCUGAAGCUAAUCAUAGAUUACAAAACAAGAAUAAACCAUUUCAAAUUUUAUGUUCUAGGUAUCUAAUAAACACCAAGAGAUAUAGUAACACCACCAACAAAUAUUGGCAAAGAAACCAAAUUUACUUGCUGUUGUUUAUAAAAUCAGUUCAGACUCAAUUUCAGUUCGAAAAUAAAUCACAAUUAUUGUUCUUUUAAUUAGUUUGAAUGACUAAUAUUUCAAUAUACAUAUUCUUAAUUUAUUAAGUGCACGUGCAUAUAUGGAAAUUGAAUCCUUGCAAAGAACCGCUUACAGUUCAAUUUGAAAAAUGCAUACCAUAAGAAAUUUGCAGUUGUGUCUAUUUCACGUACUAAUAAUGUUAUUUAGUUAUUUGAACUUAUGGAACAACAAAGCACGUUGAUACACUUGUAUUAUUCGUUAAAACAAAUUAUGAGACCUAAAGUGAAACGGAACACAUGUCGAAUAUUUGAGCAUGAUGUCCAUAUCAAGAGGCUAAUCUUUCCAACUCUUGAGAGAAUUGAUAAGAUGAUUCAUCUGUUCGUAUCAUUAUAGAAUAAAGUAUAUAUGGAUUCUACCAAGUAGAAAUCAUUCUUUAUCCUAUGAUAAUGAAAUAAUUAGCCUCCAUACAAAUUGAUUAUUGAAAUUCCAAUUGCACUAUUUGAGUCUCUGAUAUUGAAUUGUAAACAGCAUAGUGGUUCUUCUAACCAUUUUAGCAGUGACUAAAA